rnacentral:tRNA from 1 species
UCCCUGGUGGUCCAGUGGUUAAGACUCUGCACUUACAAUGAAAAAGGCAUAGGUUUGAUCCCUGGUUGGGGAA